rnacentral:rRNA from 1 species
AUUGAACGCUGGCGGCAUGCCUUACACAUGCAAGUCGAACGGCAGCACGGACUUCGGUCUGGUGGCGAGUGGCGAACGGGUGAGUAAUGUAUCGGAACGUACCUUUCAGUGGGGGAUAACGUAGCGAAAGUUACGCUAAUACCGCAUAUUCUGUGAGCAGGAAAGCAGGGGAUCGCAAGACCUUGCGCUGAUUGAGCGGCCGAUAUCAGAUUAGCUAGUUGGUGAGGUAAAGGCUCACCAAGGCGACGAUCUGUAGCGGGUCUGAGAGGAUGAUCCGCCACACUGGAACUGAGACACGGUCCAGACUCCUACGGGAGGCAGCAGUGGGGAAUUUUGGACAAUGGGGGCAACCCUGAUCCAGCCAUGCCGCGUGAGUGAAGAAGGCCUCGGUUGUAAGAC